UUCCUGUGAGGUCGGGGCGGCGCGGCGACCCCAUGGCGGACCCCCGGGCCGAGUCGGAGCCCCUGCUGAGCCGGGCCCGCGGCGGCAGCGGCCGCGAUUGCCCCGCGGGCUCACCCGCUUGCCGCGGCGUCCCAGUCGGCCCUGGCGCCGAGGCCAGGCGGGCUCUGCGCUUCGACCAGGCUGUGGUCUUCAUUGAAGACGCGAUCCAGUAUCGCUCCAUUCACCACCGCGUGGACGCCAGCUCUUUGCGGCUGUACCGAUGGUACUACUCGGACGUGUGCCAAUGGGUUUUGAGCUUGACCAUUUUCUUGAUCCUGUCUUUGGCUUUCAUUGAGACCCCUUCCUCGCUCACCAGCACCUCGGACGUCCGCUACCGCUCGGCCCCCUGGGAUCCGCCCUGCGGCCUGACGGAGGGCGUCGAGGUGCUCUGUCUGCUGGUCUUCGUGGCUGACGUCACCGUGAAGAGCUACCUGGUCGGGUGGGCUGAGUUCUGGAAGAAUCUGUGGCUGCUGGCCUACCUCCUGGUGCUGGUCGUGUCUCUCCUGGACUGGCUCGUGUCACUGAGUCUCCUCUGUCAGGAGCCCCUGCGGAUACGCCGGCUCCUGCGCCCCUUCUUCCUGAUGCAGAACUCCUCCAUGAUGAAGAAGACGCUGAAGUGCGUCAGGCGGUCGCUGCCCGAGAUGGCCAGUGUCCUGCUGCUGCUGGCACUCCACCUGUGUGUCUUCACCAUGUUCGGCAUGCUGCUCUUCACCAGAGAGAAGCAGGACGAUGGGCAGGACAGGGAGAGGCUGACCUACUUCCGCAACCUGCCCCAGGCUCUGACGUCCCUCCUGGUGCUGCUGACCACGGCCAACAACCCUGACGUGAUGAUUCCUGCGUAUUCCAAGAACCGGGCCUAUGCCAUCUUCUUCAUAGUCUUCACGCUGAUAGGAAGCUUGUUUCUGAUGAACCUGCUGACGGCCAUCAUCUACAACCAGUUCCGGGGCUACCUCAUGAAGUCUCUCCAGACCUCACUGCUCCGGAGGCGGCUGGGGACCCGGGCUGCCUACGAGGUCCUCUCCUCCCUGACAGCAGAGGAAGAAGCCCACCCUCAGAGAGUGGGGGUGAAGCCCCAGGACUUCCUGCAGGUACUUCAGAAAGUCCAGCUGGACAGCAGCCACAAGCAGGCCAUCGUGGAGGAGGUGCGUUCCUACGGCGAUGAUGUGCUGUCAGCCGACGAGUUCCAGAAGUUCUUCCACGAGUUUGACAGACGGGUGAUUAAAGAGCCCCCGCCGCAGCCCGAGUACCGGUCUCCGUUUCUGCGGAGCGCCCAGUUCCUCUUCGGCCACCGCUACUUCGACUACCUGGGCAACCUCGUCGCCCUCGGAAACCUCAUGUCCAUUUGUGCAUUCCUGGUGAAAGAUGCAGACGUGCUGCCCGCUGACCGUGACGACUUCGUCCUGGGGAUUCUGAACUGCGUCUUCAUCCUGUACUACCUGCUGGAGAUGCUGCUCAAGGUGUUUGCUCUGGGCCUGUGGGGCUACCUGUUCUUCCCCAGCAACGUGUUCGACGGGCUCCUCACCGUCGUCCUGCUGGUUUUGGAGAUCUCAACUCUGGCUGUAUACCGAUUCCCACACCCAGGCUGGAGGCCGGAGACGCUGGGCCUACUGUCGCUGUGGGACAUGGCGCGGCUGGUGAACAUGCUCAUCGUGUUCCGCUUCCUGCGCGUCAUCCCCAGCAUGAAGAUCUUUUUAGGAGAAAUGAAGCCCGAGAACAUCAGACCCCUUUUUGAGGGUCCAGGUCCUUCCCCUGUGCAUGUCCAUCCCUCCUACCAAGCUGUGCACCUGUCCCAUCUGGGGGGCCACCUGUUACCCAGGCGGCUCGGGGCUCCUGGGUGCAGUUGGGGCUGCUGCACCGAGGCCUUCAUGGACGUCACACGCAUGCACACGUGCUCGUACAUGCAUGCGUGUGCAGUCACGCAAUGCACGUGGUCACAUACAUGCGUUCACACGUAAUUACGUAUCCACAUAAUCACACAUGCGUAAUCGCGCACAACAAUACAAUCACAUAGCUACGAAACCACACACGUACAGACUCAUACAUAUACACGCAGCUAACAUGUGCAUAUACACGUCAUCACACAUAGUCGUACACACACAACAUAAUACAUGCAAUCACACACAGUCAUACAUGUGCACAGAACACGUAUACAGACAGAAAUAAUUGCACACAUGGGUGUGAUUAUCUGUACAUAUGUACGCGUAAGUACACGUAUGCACGUACGUAUGUGUGCAUAGUUAUAUGCGCGCGCGCGCACACACACACGACCUGCCAGCAUCCGGCAUUCCCAGGUUCUUCUGACACGUGAGUCAGGGUGGGUGGACUAACUGGAAGCCUUUCUUGGGGGCUCAGGUCUCACGUGAGGGGAGCAGGCCUAUAGCUGGUUCCUGGCUGGGUCUCUGAGGCCCCUUUUCUCAGACCCCAUCACUAGGGGCUGACCUGGCCACCUCCAGGUCUGUAUUUCUUUGGAGCCUUCCCAGAGGGGAGCUAACCCAGCUUGGGUCAGCGGGCAGUGUGGUCUGAGGUCCUGCACACGGGGCUUCGCCAAAGGGACUAGGAGCGAGACUCACCUAAGGCUGGGCAGAUGGAGGUGUCUGGAUGUGUGGGGGCCUAUGAGUGCAUGUGGGCGGGUGUCUACAAGUUUGGGUGUGUGGGUGGCUGUACAUGUGUGUCUAGUUGGUGGGUGGCUGUGGGUGUGUGUACGGGUGUGUUGGGGUGGCUGCAGUGUGUGUAUGGGUGUGCAUGGGUGGCUGUGGGGUGUGUAUGGGUGUGCAUGGGUGGCUGUGAGUGUGUGUACGGGUGUGUUUGGGCCUCUGGGGUGUGUAUGGGCCUCUGUGGGGUGUGUAUGGGUGUGCAUGGGUGGCUGUGGGGUGUGGACAGGUGUAUGUGGGUGGCUGCGGUGUGUGCACGGGAGUGCGUGGGUGGCUGUGCGGUGUGUAUGGGGGUGUGUGGGUGACUGUGGGUGUGUGUACAGGUGUGUGGGUGUCCGUGGGUGUGUACAGGUGUGUGGGUGGCUGUGGGUGUGUGUACGGGUGUAUGUGGGUGGCUGUGGGGUGUGUAC